UGACAACUUGGUCAGCAAGGUGGCAAAGCACCUCAAACCUCUACAUUGCUUGAUAACUGUGGAUGUCAAGCCCUGUAUGCAGCUGCUGAAUGGCUUUGGUCUCCCUUGUAGGCCAUGAAUGCAUAUGGUAAUGGUGAUUAGUUGAACAAAGCAGCACGAUGGCCAAAACUGAGUUUUAUGACCACUCACAACACAUGGCAAACCCAAAAACAACAGUCAAAGAUUAAAGAUUGAGAAUGGAAUCAGAAUUGGGAUUGGGGAUAUAGGGUUUUAGGAAUUUGGGGUUGACUUUGGUCAAAGUUGACCAAAAAGUCAACGGUUGACCAAAAAGUCAAAUGUUGACCAAAAAGUCAACUGUUGACCAACACCUCUUUCUUUGUAUUUUUUCAUGUAAUGAACCUUUUAUGAUCAUGUAAUGAAUGGCAUUUCUUCAUUUGAAUGAACUUGGAUUGGUAUUUG
rnacentral:lncRNA from 1 species